rnacentral:misc_RNA from 1 species
GAUCAUUACUGAUUUGCUUAAUUGCACCACAUGUGUUUUUUAUUGAACAAAUUUCUUUGGUGGCGGGAGCAAUCCUACCGCCAGAGGUUAUAACUAAACCAAACUUUUUAUUUACAGUCAAACUUGAUUUAUUAUUACAAUAGUCAAAACUUUCAACAACGGAUCUCUUGGUUCUCGCAUCGAUGAAGAACGCAGCGAAAUGCGAUACGUAAUAUGAAUUGCAGAUAUUCGUGAAUCAUCGAAUCUUUGAACGCACAUUGCGCCCUUUGGUAUUCCAAAGGGCAUGCCUGUUUGAGCGUCAUUUCUCCCUCAAACCCCCGGGUUUGGUGUUGAGCAAUACGCUAGGUUUGUUUGAAAGAAUUUAACGUGGAAACUUAUUUUAAGCGACUUAGGUUUAUCCAAAACGCUUAUUUUGCUAGUGGCCACCACAAUUUAUUUCAUAACUUUGACCUCAAAUCAGGUAGGACUACC